rnacentral:sRNA from 1 species
UCAAAAGCAACCUAAGCUACAUAAUGGAAA